UUAUUCCAACAUUUAGCAGCUUAAGACAACAAACGUGUGUGCCUCACACCGUUUCUGAGAAUCCGGAAUCCAGGAGUAGUCUUGCAGAGUGAGUCUUUCGUGAGGUUGCAGUCAAACUGUCAACCUGGUCUGUAAUCUCCAAAGAUGUGCCCGGGCUGGAGUGUCUUCUCCGGGGGCACUCACAUGUCUGUGGGAAGGAGGCUUCAGUCCCUUGCCACAGGGACCAUUCCACAGGGCCACUCAUGACACGGCUCACGCCAAAGUGAGGAGUGCAAGAGAGAGAGCACCAUGGCUGAAGCCAAAGUCCUUCCUAAUUGAAUAUCAGAAGAACACCACUUCUGCCUGAUGCCAUUGGCCACCCAGACCAACCAUGGCACAGUGUGGAAGGGGACCACACCAGGUGUGAGUGCCAGGAGGUGGAACUCCUUGGGGCCAUUUUGGAGGCUGGCUCCUAUCCAACAAAUCCACAUUGAAACCGAAUGCCAUGAGGUCAGCUGGGCUCAUUCGCAUCACAAACAAUUCAAACUCAUGGCGUCAUGACCUGUCAUGGCUUUUCAGGUUCUGGCUGGAUUCUUGGCAAGGUAGGGGCAUCGGUUUGCUAGGAAUGCCAUGUUUUUGGGAUUUCCUUCACCUUCCUGGGUGAAUUCCCUUUUUCUUAUACCAGUGGGAUUGGACUCUAUAACUAAGGUCCCAUCUAACUCAAACUCUAUUCAGUUCCAGUAAUUCGAUCAGUGGAUGGCUACAAAAAAGAGAAAGUCUUCAAAGAGGAGAUGGCAUUUGCACUUGAAAAGCUCCACCGUGUUGAGAUGGAUGGAAUGCGUCCCAUCAAAUGUACAGAACUUAGAGAUGACAUCAAGAUCUGGUUAUGGUAACUACAGAAGGCUCUUGUUAGGAGGCAGAAUCCAAACAGUUUGGCUAAGAAAGAGAGCCACUGGGCUGAGCUAAGAGUUUGGAUGUGAUUCUGCAGGUGGUGAAUGUGGAAGAGAUGGCUCCACCUAAAUCCAUACUAUACUUCCCCAGUGUGAGUUCCCACUGAGAAGGGGCAUCUGUAUCCAGCCAGGACUACAUUUCCCAGAACUCCUUCUUUUCCGGGCAGGGCCAUGUGACCAGUUCUGGACAAAGGAAUGUGAGCCGAAGUGAUGUGAUUCAUGUCCACGCUAAGGCCAUUAAGAGGCAGUUGUGCUCUCUCUUCUUGGGCAAUUGAGAGGCAGUUGUGCCCUCUCCUGCCUGGAUGCAGAGGACCCAGUAGAUGGAAGAGCCUCAAAAGGAAAAGGGCCCAUGUCCCUAAACUUCAAGAGGGGAAACAUCUCCUAAAAACCAGGAACACCAGAUGAGUGAAAAGUGCACAUGUGUUAGGUCAUCAGUACCUGCAUAAAAGAGACUGGGUCUUUUUCCUCCUGGAGUUUUCCCAAGUUUUGGUGGUAGGAGGCUGUAGGUGGAGUUGACCUCAGAGUGUUCUGAUGGGGACCUCAAGUGAGAGAUGGCAGACCUGUCCAGCCCCUCUCCAUCAAGAGAAGGAAGAACCCUCCCGAGGAGGCAGCCUGGGUGGUGCUGGGAUUUGGCCAAGACACUCCAUCUGCUGGAAAGGCAACGGAAAGCUUCGAACCACUUUCUUUUGGCUUGUGAACUCACCGGCUAAUUGACAAAUGUGCGUCCUGUGCAUGAGCUGCGAAGAUUUUCCAUGAUCAGCAGAGCCCAGUGAUAUCUGGGGUUCACCAAGAGCUGUGGGGCCCUUUGUGUCUAGAAACUUCUGGCCAUUGUCAGCAGAGAGGCCCCUGGUCGCUGUUCAGGGUCCUGCUCACUGGCAACCCAUGACAUACUGAGAGUCAUCAUUGUCCAAUGCUGAGCACAUAGUGAGUCCUCAAGAAAUAGUUCUUGAAUGAAUGAGUGAGUGAGUGAGUGAAAGAACAAGAGAAUAAAAGAACAAAAUGAGACCAUAUGCUUUUUACACCAAGUUGUAAGUUCAAUCCCUAACUGUGCCAAAAAGUUUUAAUUCUUUCCAGAAUUAAGGCCAUGCCAUGUGGUCCUAUGAGGGCCUUCUCUGAUUGUUUGUUUAUCAGCGAAUAUUUAUUGGGCUCCUACUAAGGGCAGGUUCUGAGCUCUAGCUGGACGCACCAGCCCAGCCAUCGGAUGGUGGGAAACCGUCUCUAAGCGCUGGAAGCUUAUCAGCGUGGGUGGGGACAGCAUCCCUGGCUGUGAGGAAG
rnacentral:lncRNA from 1 species